UGGAGGAUGACGCUGAGGUUGCAGGCGAGCACCGCGACGAUGAGCACCAGCAGCAGCGUGGCGUAGAGCUGCAGGUACGCGGUGCGUCCAUGCCGGAUGAAACACCACGUCCCAGGGCAGUACUGGGAGUACUGCCUGUCGCCCAGCAGCGGCAGGGAGCAGAAGAGCAGGGACGCGGCGUAGACGGCGGGCAGCACGACGAGGCCGCCGCGGCGCGUGACGCGGCGCUGGUACAGCAUUCUCAGGAAGAUACCGAAGAGGGCGGGACCCGUGAGGGAGGAAGUGAAAGCGGCCGGUCCAGCCGGGACCGACCCGCGCGCCCAGCGCCUGCUGCGCUACUGCUCGAUCUGCUCGCCGUCAUUUCGCCUUUUCCUAUGUCAACAUCGUAGUGACAACCACUUGUUUAAGCAACCAUUUACAAAAGGAAAAAAGAAACGUUCCUUGUAAUUCUGUAGAAUUGUGUUUGCGGACACAGCUUGACACCACUGCACAUUGCUCUGGACUCAAGCUCAGUCUUCAAAGAAAAUGUUUAGCCAUUAAUUUUUUCCACGUUCAGUUAACCGUCCGGAAGACCCAUUCCUGGUAAAGUUUAUUGGUAAGUGGCCAGUUUCAGAGACUGGAACUGACAAAAAAUGGUUGCUGACCAGCUAUUGUCGUAAUUGCAGAGUCUGAAAAUGGGCUGAUGUUUAAAACAAAAAAAAUUCCGGUUUGACAGAUGAUGUGGGUAAUUACAUUGUGUAAGGAAGGUUCUUUUCACUCAGGGAAGGGAGGACUGGAAUGAUCCGCAUGCGGAACUGGGCUGGAAAAACGUCGCGAUGUUGGCGUAAAGGGAAGAUGGCCCGCUGAGGAGCGCACCUCACUACAGCCAGCUUGCUCUCCAGGAGUAUGUCGGCUCCCCCUGUUCUACAUUUGGAAUAGAUGGUCUUGCCAGUUGCUUGAUCCUGGUCAAGAAGAUUGGAGAUGCUAUCCUUACAUUUUUCACACGGGUUUUGCAACUGUCCUUCCUAUUUGAAGACUGGAAAUCAUCACACAUUGUGCACCAUUUCUAAUGAGAUCAUGCCCUGCCCCCUUCAAGUGACUGCUGUGACAUUAGAUUCUUGUCAUCCCUUAGGGUCACUGCUUAACCCAGUUCUGACACAACUAUCACCAAAAAGUCCCUCUCUCAUAAAGGUGGUAACAAAAAGUCAAAUGGUCAAAACCACAAAAGAGCAGUCAAUAGAAACCAGCUUGGAGAUACGUUCAAAGAAUUCAGGGAAAUUGUGAGUGGGCGGGUAGAGAAUCUUAGUAGAGAAAUGGAAACUAUAAAAAAGAACCAAAUGGAAAUUCUAGAACUACAAUUUACAGAACUUGGAGGUGGUAGAAGAAAGACUAGGCAUAUCGGGUCGCCUUUCCUUCCAUGUCGUCAUUGCUUCUGUGCUCGUGGGAAGUAUUCUCACUCCUUCCACGCUGUGUGAGGCUGAGAGAACUCGGCUCCUGCUGCGCGCCCUGUUUCCACCCAAGAAGCGAAGCAGGGGUUUUCUAUGCUCUCAGAUUCCUCAAGCCUCUCUGAGAUUUGGGGUACAGGCCACAUUAUCUAAGAAACCCACGUGUUGACAUCUAAGCUCUCUUGUUCUCUUGCACUUCAUUUUCCUCCUCUGCAGCCUAUGGAACGAGCUGGGGGAAGUGGAGCAACUUUGCUCCUCAUCGUCUCCUCUGGGUCUUCUUAGGCCUAGUGUUUCGAAAGUCAUAAGCCAAGAAUUGAUGCCUGUGUUCCGUUGCAUUGUCCUUUCUCUGAACCAGUCAGCACAGAACGCCCCAGCUGCUGCUAAAACUGGGGCAAGAUCUGGAGUUUCAGGAAGUACUGGGCAAAAAAUACAUAGUAAACAUGUCCAAUUAGUGUCCAGCUACAUCUGCAUUCAUUUGGCAUGUGUGUGUCGCUUAUCACAACCUCACAGGAGUGUUUGACAAACAGCUUGAUAAAGUCUUCGCAAAUCCCUGAGUCAAUAAAAAGUGCAUUGCAAAUGGUUGUAAGAUUACAACAGUUCUCUUGUCCUCAGGCAGGAAAUGUCAGAAAGGUAAAUCCACACACUGCUUAUUAGCGCCAGGAGUUAGAUGAAAUGAGUCACUUGAUGAUGCUAGGAGGCAAAUUACUUGGGAUUCUAACUUCCUUUUUAAGACUGGUAGAUGAAAACCCAGCAUAAUCAUGAACACUCUCUUUUCUUAGAAAGAUUUGCUUCCAGGGACAGAGAAAAGCACAUGUAACACAAAAGCAAGGCAAUGGUUAUUCAACUUAAAGCAACAACUCAUCACAGACACUUUGGAAAAACGGAAGGAAGAAGAAAACUCACCCGUGAAUGUAUCCAUCAAAAUUGACCACUCAGCAUUUGGAUGUGUUUCCUUCAAUUUUUCUUCUAUGCAGCUUUUUUUGUUUCCAUAGUUGUGAUAAUAUAUUAUAGAUAAAUUUUUAUAUGGUUUUUUAAAAACUUUAUAAUGAAUAGCUUCUGUUGCAAUAUGUAUUAAGGGCCUUAAAAAUGUGCAUGCUCUGAGACCCAGAAACCGCACUUCUAGAAAUCUAUAAUCCGUUUAUUUAUUCACGCAACAAUGAUUCAUUAAGACAUCUGUUUACUGAGGCAGCACAGUAUAGUUUUAAGAGCAUGGGGUCUGGAGUCAGAUUGCUUUGAAUUCAAAUUUUAGU